rnacentral:rRNA from 1 species
AGAGUUUGAUCCUGGCUCAGGAUGAACGCUAGCGACAGGCUUAACACAUGCAAGUCGAGGGGCAGCAUAAAAGUAGCAAUACUUGGUGGCGACCGGCGCACGGGUGAGUAACGCGUAUGCAACCUACCUAUCAGAGGGGAAUAACCCGGCGAAAGUCGGACUAAUACCGCAUAAAACAGGGGCACCGCAUGGUGAUAUUUGUUAAAGAAAUUCGCUGAUAGAUGGGCAUGCGUUCCAUUAGGUAGUUGGUGAGGUAACGGCUCACCAAGCCGACGAUGGAUAGGGGAACUGAGAGGUUGGUCCCCCACACUGGUACUGAGACACGGACCAGACUCCUACGGGAGGCAGCAGUGAGGAAUAUUGGUCAAUGGGCGGGAGCCUGAACCAGCCAAGUCGCGUGAAGGAAGAGGGAUCUAUGGUUCGUAAACUUCUUUUGCAGGGGAAUAAAGUGCAGGACGUGUCCUGUUUUGUAUGUACCCUGAGAAUAAGGAUCGGCUAACUCCGUGCCAGCCGCCGC